rnacentral:rRNA from 1 species
CCUACGGGUGGCAGCAGUGAGGAAUAUUGGUCAAUGGGCGAGAGACUGAACCAGCCAAGUCGCGUGAGGGAUGAAGGUUCUAUGGAUCGUAAACCUCUUUUAUAAGGGAAUAAAGUGUGGGACGUGUCCUAUUUUGUAUGUACCUUAUGAAUAAGGAUCGGCUAACGCCGUGCCAGCAGCCGCGGUAAUACGGAGGAUCCGAGCGUUAUCCGGAUUUAUUGGGUUUAAAGGGUGCGUAGGCGGCGUGUUAAGUCAGCGGUGAAAGGUUGUGGCUCAACCAUAGAAUUGCCGUUGAAACUGGGGGGCUGGAGUAUGUUUGAGGCAGGCGGAAGGCGUGGUGGAGCGGUGAAAUGCUUAGAUAUCACGCAGAACCCCGAUUGCGAAGGCAGCCUGCCAAGCCAUGACUGACGCUGAUGCACGAAAGCGUGGGGAUCAAACAGGAUUAGAUACCCGAGUAGUC